rnacentral:rRNA from 1 species
AAGAACUACAAGGAUUCCCCUNGUAACUGCGAGUGAAGCGGGAAAAGCUCAAAUUUUGAAUCUGGCAGUCAUUUAGGCUGUCCGAAUUGUAAUCUAGAGAAGUGUUUUCCGCGUUGGCCCGUGUACAAGUCUCCUGGAAGGGAGCGUCAUAGAGGGUGAUAAUCCCGUCUUUGACAUGGAGUAUCAAUGCUUAUGUGUUACACUCUCAACGAGUCGAGUUGUUUGGGAAUGCAGCUCAAAAUGGGUGGUAAAUUCCAUCUAAAGCUAAAUAUAGGCGAGAGACCGAUAGCGCACAAGUACCGUGAGGGAAAGAUGAAAAGAACUUUGAAAAGAGAGUUAAACAGUACGUGAAAUUGCUGAAAGGGAAACGCUAGAUGUCCAGUCGCGUUUAUUAGGGAUCAACCUUAUUUAACUUUGGUGUAUUUCCUAGUAGACGGGUCAGCAUCAGUUUUGAUCUACUGUAAAAGGUUGGAAUUGGAAUGUAGCAAAUUUAAUCUAAGUUUGUGUUAUAGCCAUUUCUUCGGCAUACAGUGGUUGGGACUGAGGAAACUCUGCACGUCCAUUUAGGAAUUUGUUUGCAAGAGAUGCUGGCAUAAUGGCACUUAGCGACCCGCU